rnacentral:hammerhead_ribozyme from 1 species
ACCCUUCUGACGAGUCCUAAAUAGGACGAAACCACAUCCUGGGU